rnacentral:rRNA from 1 species
GACGAACGCUGGCGGCGUGCCUAAUACAUGCAAGUCGAGCGGAGCGGCGGACGGGUGAGUAAUGCCUAGGAAUCUGCCUGGUAGUGGGGGAUAAAGUCCGGAAACGGGCGCUAAUACCGCAUACUAUCAGAUGAGCCUAGGUCGGCUUGGCUAGUUGGGGGGGUAAAGGCCUACCAAGGCGACGAUCCUUAACUGGUCGGAGAGGAUGAGCAGUCACACUGGAACUGAGACACGGUCCAGACUCCUACGGUAGGCAGCAGUGGUGAAUAUUGGACAAUGGGCGAAAGCCUGAUCCAGCCAUGCCGCGUGUGUGAAGAAGGUCUUCGGAUUGUAAAGCACUUUAAGUUGGGAGGCGUUACCAACAGAAUAAGCACCGGCUAACUUCGUGCCAGCAGCCGCGGUAAUUC